GCAGUCGNCGCUUUGUCUUUAAUUGANCUGACGAGCUUGCUCUGAUNNGAUUUUAUCUGACAAAGAGUGGCGAACGGGUGAGUAACACGUGGGUAACCUACCUCUUAGCAGGGGAUAACAUUUGGAAACAAGUGCUAAUACCGUAUAAUACCAACAACCGCAUGGUUGUUGGUUGAAAGAUGGUUCUGCUAUCACUAAGAGAUGGACCCGCGGUGCAUUAGCUAGUUGGUAAGGUAAAGGCUUACCAAGGCGAUGAUGCAUAGCCGAGUUGAGAGACUGAUCGGCCACAAUGGGACUGAGACACGGCCCAUACUCCUACGGGAGGCAGCAGUAGGGAAUCUUCCACAAUGGGCGCAAGCCUGAUGGAGCAACGCCGCGUGUGUGAUGAAGGGUUUCGGCUCGUAAAACACUGUUAUAAGAGAAGAACGGCACUGAGAGUAACUGUUCAGUGUGUGACGGUAUCUUACCAGAAAGGAACGGCUAAAUACGUGCCAGCAGCCGCGGUAAUACGUAUGUUCCAAGCGUUAUCCGGAUUUAUUGGGCGUAAAGCGAGCGCAGACGGUUAUUUAAGUCUGAAGUGAAAGCCCUCAGCUCAACUGAGGAAUGGCUUUGGAAACUGGAUGACUUGAGUGCAGUAGAGGAAAGUGGAACUCCAUGUGUAGCGGUGAAAUGCGUAGAUAUAUGGAAGAACACCAGUGGCGAANGCGGCUUUCUGGACUGUAACUGACGUUGANGCUCGAAAGUGUGGGUAGCAAACAGGAUUAGAUACCCUGGUAGUCCACACCGUAAACGAUGAGUGCUAGAUGUUCGAGGGUUUCCGCCCUUGANUGUCGCAGCUAACGCAUUAAGCACUCCGCCUGGGGAGUACNACCGCAAGGUUGAAACUCAAAGGAAUUGACGGGGACCCGCACAAGCGGUGGANCAUGUGGUUU
rnacentral:rRNA from 1 species